rnacentral:rRNA from 1 species
GUAGGUGGCAAGCGUUGUCCGGAAUUAUUGGGCGUAAAGCGCGCGCAGGUGGUUCUUUAAGUCUGAUGUGAAAGCCCCCGGCUCAACCGGGGAGGGUCAUUGGAAACUGGGGAACUUGAGUGCAGGAGAGGAAAGUGGAAUUCCACGUGUAGCGGUGAAAUGCGUAGAUAUGUGGAGGAACACCAGUGGCGAAGGCGACUUUCUGGCCUGCAACUGACACUGAGGCGCGAAAGCGUGGGGAGCAAACAGGGAUUAGAUACCCUGGUAGUCCACGCCGUAAACGAUGAGUGCUAAGUGUUGGGGGGGUUUCCCGCCCCUCAGUGCUGCAGCUAACGCAUUAAGCACUCCGCCUGGGGAGUACGGUCGCAAGACUG